rnacentral:misc_RNA from 1 species
GUUACAAAGUUAAUUGUUUCGACGUUCUAUAAGUUUUUGUAGUGUAUAAUUAAGAGUAAGAGCCUUACGACUCUUUCUCUCUUCAAAAGUGCACAGGGGUGAAGUGGGAUAAGAACUGCGUGCACAUGCCCGAAGGCCAGCACAGCAGUGAUCUCAAUAAUGAUCCUUCCGCAGGUUCACCUACGGAAA